AGUGAACGCUGGCGGUAGGCCUAACACAUGCAAGUCGAACGGCAGCACAGUAAGAGCUUGCUCUUACGGGUGGCGAGUGGCGGACGGGUGAGGAAUACAUCGGAAUCUACUUUUUCGUGGGGGAUAACGUAGGGAAACUUACGCUAAUACAGCAUACGACCUACGGGUGAAAGCAGGGGAUCUUCGGACCUUGGGCGAGUGAAUGAGCCGAUGUCGGAUUAGCUAGUUGGCGGGGUAAAGGCCCACCAAGGCGACGAUCCGUAGCUGGUCUGAGAGGAUGAUCAGCCACACUGGAACUGAGACACGGUCCAGACUCCUACGGGAGGCAGCAGUGGGGAAUAUUGGACAAUGGGCGCAAGCCUGAUCCAGCCAUACCGCGUGGGUGAAGAAGGCCUUCGGGUUGUAAAGCCCCUUUGUUGGGAAAGAAAAGCAGCAGGUUAAUACCCCGCUGUUCUGACGGUACCCAAAGAAUAAGCACCGGCUAACUUCGUG
rnacentral:rRNA from 1 species